rnacentral:rRNA from 1 species
AGUGAACGCUGGCGGCAGGCCUAACACAUGCAAGUCGAGCGGCAGCGGGUUUCCCGCGAGGGGAUGCCGGCGAGCGGCGGACGGGUGAGGAACACAUCGGAAUCUGCCUGGUUGUGGGGAUAACGUAGGGAACGUUACGCUAUACCGCAUGAGACCCUGAGUCGACGGACUGGGGGUGGAAGUGAGGGACCGUUCGGCCGUCACGCGACCAGAUGAGCCGA